rnacentral:rRNA from 1 species
UACGUAGGGUGCGAGCGUUAAUCGGAAUUACUGGGCGUAAAGCGCGCGUAGGCGGAUCGCUAAGUCAGGGGUGAAAUCCCAGGGCUCAACCCUGGAACUGCCUUUGAUACUGACGAUCUGGAGAUCGGGAGAGGUUGGUGGAAUUCCGAGUGUAGAGGUGAAAUUCGUAGAUAUUGGGAGGAACACCGGUGGCGAAGGCGACCACCUGGACGGAGACUGACGCUGAGGCGCGAAAGCGUGGGGAGCAAACAGG